GAUGAACGCUAGCGACAGGCUUAACACAUGCAAGUCGAGGGGCAGCGGGGGCGGAAGCUUGCUUUCGCCCGCCGGCGACCGGCGCACGGGUGAGUAACACGUAUGCAACCUGGCCGCCACAGGGGGAUAACCCGCGGAAACGCGGCCUAAUACCCCGUGACGCCACCGGAGGGCAUCCUCCGGUGGCCAAAGGAGCGAUCCGGUGGCGGAUGGGCAUGCGGCGCAUUAGCUAGACGGCGGGGUGACGGCCCACCGUGGCGACGAUGCGUAGGGGUUCUGAGAGGAAGGUCCCCCACACUGGUACUGAGACACGGACCAG
rnacentral:rRNA from 1 species